UACAGAGGUCCCAAGCGUUGUUCGGAUUCAUUGGGCGUAAAGGGUGCGUAGGCGGUGGGGUAAGUUGGAUGUGAAAUCUUGGGGCUUAACCUCAAAAUUGCACUCAAUACUGCUCCGCUCGAGUUCUGUAGAGGAGAUUGGAAUUUACGGUGUAGCAGUGAAAUGCGUAGAUAUCGUAAGGAACGCCAGUGGCGAAAGCGAAUCUCUGGGCAGCAACUGACGCUGAGGCACGAAGGCCAGGGGAGCAAACGGG
rnacentral:rRNA from 1 species